CUUGAACGCUGGCGGCAGGCCUAACACAUGCAAGUCGAGCGAGCGUCGGACGGGUGAGUAAUGUCUGGGAACCUGCCUGAUGUAGGGGGCUAACUACUGUAGACAGUGACUACUACCACCUCCCAUCAGCUGUUCCCCGAUGGGCUUCGCACGUAGUUGGGGUAACGGCUCACCUAGGCGUCGUUCCCUAGCUGGUUUGAGAGGAUGACCAGCCACACGGGAACGGGGACACGGGCCAGACUCCUACGGGAGGCAGCAGUGGGGAAUAUUGGACAAUGGGCGCAAGCCUGCUGCAGCAAGGCGGCGGGGGUGAAGAAGGCCUUCGGGUGGUAAAGCAAUUUCAGCGGGGAGGCGGUACCCGCAGAAGAAGCACCGGCUAACUCCGUGCCAGCAGCCGCGGUAAUUC
rnacentral:rRNA from 1 species